CAUAGUUGAUUUCUUGGCUGCUCUUGACACUCUCUACAAACAGAUCAAGCCAAAAGGAGUGACCAUGAAAGCAUUGUUAGCCAAAGCUACAUCAAUUGCAUUGGCUAAACACCCUAUCGUGAAUUAAAGUUGUAGAGAUAGAAAGAGCUUUCCCGUGCUUCAGAAUGUUCAUAAGGUGAACUUCUUACGCCCUAAUUCUUUUUUUUUCUAACUUUCUAUAUUAAGUUGUGUCUUCAAACAUUGGCCUAACUCAAGGUACUAAUAAGAUUGAUAAUGUUCCAAAUUCAAACUUGAAUGCCAGGUAUCCAUGUAUCAAUAGACUGAUUAAUGAUUUUUAUGUAUCAUUUGAAUAUUAUUAUUCGGCUCAGGUACCGUGUGACGGGGCCUAAUUUAGAAAUCAAUCCAUCAUUUGGUAAACGAAUUGGGUACUACAAUUAGGUUCCGACUUUGAUUGUUAUUGAUGUUUUUGGUUUUAAUUAUCUAUUUUACCAGCAUUACAGGAUACUUAUUUUGCAGUAUGAUAUUGUCGACAUCUAACCGUCAUAUUUCGAUUUGAAGAAAGAAUGUCAAUACGUGGCUCUAUUUGAAUGGUUCUACCACUUCCGAUCAGCUCCACAUCCGUCCAAUUACCCAUUUACCUCUUUUGCAUAGAUAGCAACUCCAUGUCCCACCUUUUUCUUUUUAGGGUCCUUAUAUUUUGAGAAACAUCUACUAAGAUCACCAUUUUCAUUUCCAGGUGGGUGGAUGGAUUGAGGAAUGUGCAUGGUAGAGUUCAACCACCAAAUGCUAGCAACAAGGCGCUUCUAAUCGGUUCUCAUUUGGUCAAUAAUCACCUUAAUACUUUUUAAUAACAAGAUUUUAACGUUUUAGGGAAAAUUACACAUUAUCAGCCUUUUACCUCAAAAGCCAUUAUGAGUUUUUAUUUGCAUAAAAUAUAUGUAUUCACUUUUUCUCUUCAUUUCCGUCAUUAUUGACCUAAAAAGCAGCUACCAGGUUCAAUUUCUCAGUUGGACAUUUUUCAAUGAGUUGGCAUUUGACAUGGCAAGUAUUUUUCAAUGAGUUGGCAUUUGACAUGGCAAGUGAAAUGGCCACAUACAUGUGUAAAAGUGUCAAAAAUAGUUGUUUUUAAGUGUCUAUUAAGUAUAACACAUGCUUAUAUGGACAUCAGAUGCCACAUCAUAAAAAAUUGUUCAUGUAAGCAAAUCAAACUUGCUAACCGGGUUUUGUAGGUAACUAAUGGCUGAAAUGAAAAAGAAAUAUAUACCAAUGGCUUUGAUACAAGUAAUUUUUUCAUACUUUUUUUUAGGUUUAAGGUUGAUGAUGUAAUGAUUUUUUGUGUAGUUUUCGUUUUUCUAUCUUAAGUAUUUCUUAAGUGGUGGAGUUCUUUUUCUUCUCUCAACAUGAUAUUGUUAUUGAUGUUGGUAUGUUUUGAAGAGUUUGUAAGCCUCAUUUUUCAGUUUUUCGCUAAUAUUAUGAACAUAUUUCUCAAUUUUUUUUAAUUUUGUUUGUUAUAAUUUAGAUGAUCAAGAGUCACGGACGUUGAUGGGAUUUUAUGCUUCUCCUGGUGUAUGCACAUACUAAUUUGUUUAUAAAUGAGUCUUUAGACAAGAGAUGAGAAUGUUGUAAGUGUAUUUUUUAUAGUCAAUUGAUUUAGAAAUUACUUUAACAAAAAAUAUACUGAUGCUUAUAGUUAUUUUUGUUUGAAUCUAAGUUUGCGUUUGUUCUCAAGAAUGUAUUAGGAUGUUUAUAGUUAUUUUUGUUUGAAUCUAAGUUUGCGUUUGUUCUCAAGAAUGUAUUAGGAUA